rnacentral:rRNA from 1 species
AGGGCACCACCAGGAGUGGAGCCUGCGGCUUAAUUUGACUCAACACGGGAAAACUCACCCGGCCCGGACACCGUAAGGAUUGACAGACUGAGAGCUCUUUCUUAAUUCGGUGGGUGGUGGUGCAUGGCCGUUCUUAGUUGGUGGAGCGAUUUGUCUGGUUAAUUCCGAUAACGAACGAGACUCUGGCCUAUUAAAUAGUCGGUAUAUCCAGAAAAGUUUACCGUACUUCUUAGAGGGACAAACGGCGUCUAGCCGCGUGAAAUAGAGCAAUAACAGGUCUGUGAUGCCCUUAGAUGUCCGGGGCUGCACGCGCGCUACACUGAAAGAAUCAGUAUGCGCUUUAACCUAGUCCGGAAGGAUUGGGUAACCCGAGCGAAUUCUUUCGUGCUUGGGAUAGGGAAUUGCAAUUAUUUCCCUUAAACGAGGAAUUCCCAGUAAAUGCGGGUCAUAAGCUCGCGUUGAUUACGUCCCUGCCCUUUGUACACACCGCCCGUCGCUACUACCGAUUGGAUGACUUAG